UACGGAGGAUGCAAGCGUUAUCCGGAAUCAUUGGGCGUAAAGCGUCCGCAGGUGGACUGGUAAGUCUGCCGUCAAAGCACGGGGCUUAACCCCGUAAAGGCGGUGGAAACUGCCAGACUAGAGGCUGGUAGGGGUAGAGGGAAUUCCCAGUGUAGCGGUGAAAUGCGUAGAGAUUGGGAAGAACACCAGUGGCGAAAGCGCUCUACUGGACCAGAACUGACACUCAGGGACGAAAGCUAGGGGAGCGAAAGGG
rnacentral:rRNA from 1 species